AAUAUUGUACAAUGGUCGCAAGACUGAUCCAGCCACGCUGUGACUGUAAAGAAGGUUUUCGUAUUGUAAAGCACUUUAAUUUGGGAGGAAGGGCAGUUAACGAAUACUUAACUGUUUUGACGUUACGAAUAGAAUAAGCACCGGCUAACUUCUUGCCAGCCACCGCGGUAGUACGAAGGGUGCAAGCGUUAAUCGGAAUUACUGGGCGCAAAGCGGGCGUAGGUGGGUCGUUAAGUUGGAAGUGAAAGCCCCGGGCUAAACCUAGGAAUAGAUUUGAAAACUGGCGAGCUAGAGUACGGUAGAGGGUGGUGGAAUUUCCUGUGUAGCGGUGAAAUGCGUAGAUAUAGGAAGGAACAUCAGUGGCGAAGGCGACCACCUGGACUGAUCCUGACACUGAGGUGCGAAAGCGUGGGGAGCAAACAGG
rnacentral:rRNA from 1 species